rnacentral:sRNA from 1 species
AUCUUGUGUUGUUGAGGCUGAGGACUGACUUGGGUUCUGAGACUCCCUGUCCCGGACCGCAGUGUUAAAAGGAUCUGAACAAAGUCUGCUCAAAUCUCCUGCUGUGAACCAGCAGAAUUUUUGAACAGAGACCACGUCUCCAACUCCUGGGCUCCAACGAUUCUCCCAUCUCGGCCUCCCAAAGCGCUGGAGUUACAGGUUUCUUCACAUAUAAAAAUCUAUUGUAAAAAUACGGAAAAGAAUGGCAGCGGAAACGCAGACACUGAACUUUGGGCCUGAAUGUCUCUUACAGAUAUGUUUGGACCCCGAAUAUGGAAUUCUCAUGGAAUUUUGAGAUCCAUCACAUUGUAGUGUGGCUUCCCCCCCCCCCUUCCUUUUUCCCCAAAGUUGGUGAUUGAAGAACCUCUCUUCAGUGGCAUCAAUAAUAAUAAUUACUUUUUCUAUUCAAACCUCGGGCAACCCCUUUGGUAAUAUCAGAAGCAGUAUCUAAAAUAGAUAAAUUGGAUUUGUGUCUUAAACUCUUGGUUGUUCAGGUGGGAGUGGUUCAAUAAAUGAUGCAGACU